rnacentral:misc_RNA from 1 species
UCUCCGUAGGUGAACCUGCGGAGGGAUCAUUACAGAGUUCAUGCCCUACCGGGUCGAUCUCCCACCCUAUGUUAUUAUUACUUUGUUGCUUUGGCGGGCCGUUAGGCUCCGGCCCGACUACCGGCCCCGGCUGGUAAGCGCCCGCCAGAGGACCCAAAACCCUGAAUAUUAGUGUCGUCUGAGUACUAUAUAAUAGUUAAAACUUUCAACAACGGAUCUCUUGGUUCUGGCAUCGAUGAGAACGCAGC